UACGUAGGUGGCAAGCGUUAUCCGGAUUUAUUGGGUGUAAAGGGCGUGUAGGCGGGACUGCAAGUCAGAUGUGAAAACUGAGGGCUCAACCCUCAGCCUGCAUUUGAAACUGUAGUUCUUGAGUGCUGGAGAGGCAAUCGGAAUUCCGUGUGUAGCGGUGAAAUGCGUAGAUAUACGGAGGAACACCAGUGGCGAAGGCGGCCUGCUGGACAUUAACUGACGCUGAGGCGCGAAAGCGUGGGGAGCAA
rnacentral:rRNA from 1 species